rnacentral:tRNA from 1 species
GGAGAGAUGGCUCAGCAGUUAAGAGUGCUGGCCGCUCCUCCAGAGGACCUGGGUUCAAUCCCCAGCUCCC